AUCGAACGCUGGCGGCAUGCCUAACACAUGCAAGUCGAGCGGAUGCUUCGGGCUUGCUCCUGCAUUCAUCGGUGGCCGGGUGAGUCCUGCCUAUGAAUCUGCCUUGUCGUGGGGGAUAACGUCCGGAAACCGGCUCUAAUACCGCAUCCGUCCUGUGGUCGCAAGUGGGUGAUCUUCGGACCUCUCGCUAUCUGAUUAGCCUAGGUGGGUUUAGCUAGUUGGGGGGGUAAAGGCUUAACAAGGCGGCUAUCCGUAACUGGUCUGAGUGGAUGAUCCGUCACACUGGAACUGAGACAGGGUCCAGACUCCUACGGGAGGAAGCAGUCGAGAAUAUUGGACGAGGGGCGAAAGCCGGAUACAGCAAUGCCGCGUGAGUGAAGAAGGUCUUCGGAUGGUAAAGCAAUGAAAGUUGGGAGGAAGGGAAGUAAGUUAAUACCGGACGGUAUUGACGGUACCAACAGAAUAAGCACCGGCUAACUUCGUG
rnacentral:rRNA from 1 species